UCUGAGUUUCCCCGGGAGAAGCUGCCCAUGUCAAAUGCUGUUAUUUUUAACUUCUUCUUCCCAAGCCCUUUGGCAAGAACCUUGCAGAGGAGAAUGUAGGAAAGAAUGAACUCCGAGCGCUGCCAAAAAAGCUGAAUUCCUGGAGGAUUCAUCAAAGGGGAGGACAGAGGCCCAGAGGAAAGGCAUCUGUGAAAGGGAAGGACCUCCAGCAUGUUGGCAGAACUCAGGGUUUGGAGGUUUCCAGACUUGCUACCAUUUUGGUCGCCCUCCUUUGGACACCCUCCGCCUUGUCAACAUAUGUCUUGAAUCGUGGAGCCCAGAAUUGAACACUAUAUUCCAGGGACUUAUAUCCCGCUGUUCUUCCAAAAUGAGAUCGAAGUACCUGUUGCCCAAGAACCGAGUACCUGUUGCCUUGAACGCCUUGGAGGGCAGGAUAGAUGGAUAAGAUGAACCGCCAAACAAGCUCAGCCAGGAUGGAGGAAUGAUAUUGUGUCCUGUGCUUUUCCAAGUUACAUUCAAGAAGGGAAUCAGACAAAGACGUCUUUCCGAGCUUCACCUGGAGAUGCUGGGGAGCAAGCUGGGAUUUUGUGCAAGCAAAGUAACUUGCAUUCCCCUAGAGCUGAGCCUCAUUCUUUCUUCCCUCACCUCCUUUUCCCAUUCCCUCCUUCCUUCCUCCACCAUGCAUGAGAUACAAAACAAGGGGGUCUCAGUUGCCCAUUGCAGGGAGAGUGUUGCUUAGUAACAUCCAUUUGAAGCUCUCUGGCGGCUUCCAGAUCACUUGCCAAUGCUAGGAAUGACAUGCAGGUUCACAGCUGAGUGCCUGUUGUGUUUCCCUGCUGCAGUGGUAUCUCUUCCUCUCCCUUCCUUCCCCACUCCCCGCAAAGGGGAAAGAAGGGAGGAAAGGAGAAGGAGUGAUGCCUUUGUGGUAACUCUCUCUACGUCUCCUACAGGGAUUAAGAAGAAAAUCCAGACUAACCUCUGAAUAAUAAGGAUGGAAACAAACAUAAGGAGCUGUAGAUUUUUAUGGGUUUUUCAGGCUCUGUGGC